UACGGAGGAUGCAAGCGUUAUCCGGAAUGAUUGGGCGUAAAGCGUCCGCAGGUGGCUGUGUAAGUCUGCUGUCAAAGAGCGAAGCUCAACUUCGUAAAGGCAGUGGAAACUACACGGCUAGAGUGCGUUCGGGGCAGAGGGAAUUCCUGGUGUAGCGGUGAAAUGCGUAGAGAUCAGGAAGAACACCGGUGGCGAAGGCGCUCUGCUAGGCCGUUGCUGACGCUGAGGCGCGACAGCGUGGGGAGCAAACAGG
rnacentral:rRNA from 1 species